rnacentral:rRNA from 1 species
AACGUAGGUUCCGAGCGUUAUCCGGAUUUACUGGGCGUAAAGCGCGUUCAGGCGGUUUGGCAAGUCGGGCAUGAAAUCUCUCGGCUCAACCGGGAGAGGUUGUCCGAUACUGCUGGACUUGAGGGCAGUAGAGGGUGGUGGAAUUCCGGGUGUAGUGGUGAAAUGCGUAGAUAUCCGGAGGAACACCAGUGGCGAAAGCGGCCGCCUGGACUGCACCUGACGCUGACACGCGAAAGCUAGGGGAGCGAACGGG